rnacentral:lncRNA from 1 species
UGGAGGCGAUGGGUCCACCUGUGAGUGGAGUACAGAACGUGGGGGAACAGCUUCCCAGGAGUCUGGGGCUCAACCUCUCCAGGAGGCCCUGAAGGUGGCCUGAGAAAGUUCUGCCUCUCGGGGGGGCAGCGUGGAGCACAGGAGCCGCAGUGAGUCCUGCCUGGCUCUAAGCACCACUUUCCAAGCAUGCAGCUUUGGCAGCAGGGACCGUGGCUCCAACUGCGGCUCAGGAUGAAGGCCCCAGGCGCUGAAGAGAGUGAAGCCGAACCCCUCCUCAAUCCCAAAACACUGGGGACCACGGUGAGACAGCGACGCCCUGGAUGCUGCCUGGUCAAGGUCAGGCUGUGAUCGGCCUGUCAGGCGUGUGGCAGAACCAGCUUCAGAGGCAGCGGUGUCCACGUAAUGAGCUCAAAUGAUGCCCCAGGAAGAACAUAGAUGGCUUCUUUCUUUAAUUCCUCAGCAUGUUUUUAAAUUUAAAUAACUCUACAUUGCAUUUUGGAAAAAGCGCUUCUAACAUAAGCCUGUUUGACUGCAGUUAAAUAAUUUAUGUGUCUCUUGGCCUGGGAAUCACUGUCUCCAUUAUUUUUUUUAUGUGACUCACUUUAUUGCUCCAUUAUUAUUAAUAAUAAAUAUGUCAGGAAUCAGGCACACAAAAAUAUCAAGAAUAAAGAAGUAUAUAAAGAGCUCCUCAAGACACAACCCAAAUGAAAGAUGGGCAAAAGAUAUAAACAAGCUGUUCUUUUUCAAAAAAGAGAAAAGAACAGCAAAUGGACUUAAACACAUAAAAAGAUUCUCAACCUGCCUGUUAGCAGGAGAAGUACAAGAUAAAACCACAACAGGACGUGGCAUCUCAUCCAGCAGCGGUAGGCAGGCCCAGAAGCUGGCAAGCCGGGCAGCGCAGGCUGCUGGCGAGGUAGGUGGAGAACAGGCAUCCUCCUACGGCACUGACAGAGCAAACCGCAAACGUACCCCCCUUCUCAGAAAUCUCCCUUCUCCAAAGCGAUCCCAAAGCUGUCCUCGCAGAAAUAUAGCUGAUGUACUCACAAGGCAUCUGCAGCACUAUUUAUAAAAGCAGAAGAUUGGAGCCCAGCUGUCCAUGAUGUGGGGCGGCCAGGGGCGGGGGAGGUUGAGUCCACAGGGGAACAUCACGCAGCUGUGCAGACACAUGCACGCCAUCCACAUAACACGCAGGUACAAAGGGACGGAGGGACAGAGAGAAAAAAGUCUGGGCCGGGGUAACUGUAAGCCACCGUAUAUGUCAUUGGGAACACUGACUCAUUUACCCUGGGCCUGAUGUCACUGACUUCUACCUCCUGCCCCAAGACUUAGAGUGAAAGAUGAAAAGAUGACCUGUUAACUCACCUGUGGGCAGGAUGUGUAGACCAUGUAGCAUAUGUGAUUGAAUACACAGCCAGUCCCUCCAUUAACUCCAAAGGACACGGCUCCUUCGGCAGCUGCUGGAGGCCAGGCGGAAGCCACUCCCAGGUGGGUGCAUCCUGGCUGACUUUCCUGGAAAGUCCCGAUGCUACACUGACAACUACAUUCUCUUUAGCAAUUGUAGGAUGGCCAGCAAGGACACUGUGGUUAUCGGCGGUGGAAAGUAAAUUCUUGGCAUCCUACUGCUAUUCCAGGCUAUUAAACUACAUUACGGUUUCUUGGCACGCUGGCUGAAGACAUGUUGCCCACAAGCUGAGGGAGGUCCUUACCCGUGGACGCCAAGCUCCGGGAGGCUGCAGUGGCGGCAGCUGAGUCUGCAGGUGGAGAGGUGCAGGGACUGUUUUGCCUCCACCUCCUUCAAUACCUACUUUUCUUUCCAGCAACAGUCCCUUCCCUUACGCUCCCGAAUCCACCCUGGCCCUGAGGCUGCACCUGAGUACCACAUCCUGACCCCACUUGUUUGCAAGACGUCUGCAUGUCCACAAGUGCAGCGUUCAUCUCAUCUCAACAAGCGAUCCCUCCGGAGCAGACGGGUGAUCCCUACCACCUUCUGAACACUCCUACUCAUCAUCUCGGUAACACCCUCUACCUGUUCCAUACCUAGGCCAGAGGUUUUCACCCCGGCCACACGUCAGUACCACUUAGGAAGUUAAAAAAAAAAAAACUAUGCCAAUGCAAGCCAAUGACAGAAAAAAAUCAAUUACCCGAUUUUAAAAUAGGCAAAGAACCUCAAUAGACAUUUGUAGCAAGAAGGUCUAAUAAGGAGAUGAAAAGUGCUCAAAUUAAAACCACAAUGAGGCCAGGCACAGCAGCUCACAGCUGUAAUCCCAGCACUUAGGGAGGUCAACGUAGGAGGAUCACUUGAGUUCAAUACCAGCCUGAGCAACCUAAUGAGACCCUCCCUCUCCAAAAAAAGUUGUCUUUUUUUUUUUUUUUUUUUAAUUAGCCAGGCAUGGUGGUGCACGCCUGUGAUCCCAGCUACUGGGGAGACUGAGGUGGGAGGAUCGCUUGAGCCCAGGAGGUCGAAGCUGCAGUGAGGUAUGGUUGUGCCACUGCACUCCAGCCUGGGUAAGAGAGCGAGGUGCUGUCUCUAAAAAACAACAACAAAACCCCACAAUGAGAUACUACCUACACGGAGCAGGAUGGCUGCUACCAAAACACUAGACAGUGCCAAGUGCCGGUGAGGACGUGGGGAACCAGAGCCCCAGUUACCCGGGGAGGACGCGGGGAGCCGGAACCCCAGUUACCCGGUGAGGACGUGGGGAACCGGAACCCCAGUUACCCGGGGAGGACGUGGGGAGCCGGAACCCCAGUUACCCGGUGAGGACGUGGGGAACCGGAGCCCUGUGCACUGUUGGUGCAAGUGUGAAACGACACGGCUGCUAUGGAGACAGCACGGAGGUUCCUCAGAGAAUUAAACAUAGGUAUGACCCAGCACAGGAUCCAGCAGUGCCACCUCUGGGCGCGCAUCCAAAAGACACGAACUCAGUACGUGGAGGAGACGUCAGCACACGAUCACCGCCGCCAGCAUUCACAGCGGCCUACGGCAGACGCCCAAGAGUCCAUCACAGGUGAACGGACAAGAAAAACGUGGUGUAUACACACAACAGAACGUGAUUCCGCCACAAAACGACACAGGAUGAGUCCACUGAAAUGACGUAUCUAAAGUGGUCAAAAUCACAGACAGAGAAAGCAGAACGGUGGUCACCAGGGCCUGGGGGAGGGGAGGUGGGGACACCUAGUUUAACGGCCCAGAGGCUGAGUUUUGCAAGACGGAGAAUUUCUGGAGUUCCGCUGCACGACAAUGUGGAGGUGCUCAAUACUGCUGAACUGUACACUUAACAUGGCUAUGAUGGUCAGUUCCAUGCAUGCUUUUUUUACAAUUCAAAACUUUAGAAAAUUAUUUAAAACAUAACAAUACCAAGCCUGGGUCCUGCCUCUCACCGCUCCUAAUCUUUUUGUUUUAUGCUUCUCGAUGAUCCUUUUGUUUUUUUGGCUUUCCUCACUCAUUCUCAUAUGAUUCUAAUAUAUAGCUGUGAGGAGGAACACCUACAAAUUAUAAACUAAAAUUUGAAACUGUCUCUGAUUAGGGGAUGUAUAUUUAUUGUGCAUCCUUUUAUUCUCUUCAUACUAGGGUACACAGUAAGAGCUUAGUACUCACUAAACAUUCACAUUAUUACCAACUGAAUAAAAGAAUGAAUGAUU